CUUGAGACCUGUUUCCAUGGUAACCAGUGAGCAAUUGACAAUGUGGCUGCAGUUGGGCCUCCUUGAAGGGGAAAAAUCUUCAACAGGAACCAGGCCACUGAGAGAUGGAAGAAAGGACAGCUCAUACCCAAACCUCACGAGGAGGCUACAGGAAUCACUGGACAGUUCCUUUAUUGGGAAAGCCCCCAGUGACUUUCCAAUGAAAUGGAUAGAGAAGGGAAAAGAGACCCUUCGGAAUCAGAUGAGUCCAUGAACUGGCAGCAGUCAGGGCAGUGAUGACAUCACAGAAGGAGGAUGGGCCUUAGACAGACAUCACUCUUUAGAAUCCCUGCAACUUUGAGCAAGUUCGUGAAUCUCACUAAGGCUCAGUUUCCUCCAUAAAAUUAAUCAAUAUCAGGGCCUCUGCAUUGGACAACUCCAGAGGGCACCAUUGGGGUUAUACCUUGUGUUUGCCUAACCUUCAUUGCAGUGGGCAGGUGCAUGCUUUCUACAAUGUCCUAAGGUCUAAAGGGGUAGAGUUCUGUGUGUGGCAUUUUAGGCCUGGAAAGGAUGAGAGUCUACAAAACCAGAGAAAUACUGCAGCAAAUGGUCAAACCCAGGAGGGAAUGGUAUGAACCUCUGGUUUACAGCCAUUGGUAAGAAGCACACAUGACAACCUGGACUUUCCAUCAACAUUUGAAGCGGGAGCAGUCUUGUGGGAUCAAGCUCUUAACCUGUGGGGUCUGCUACUAACUCUGAAUCCAAUGAACACAUGGACCCAACACUCCUUUGGCCAAGUUGAUGAUUCUCCACCAUUUAUUUGCCUGCCUCACUAUACACUUCUAGCAAGCCACUGCAAGGCUGCAUUGCAGCUAAGAGGAAGCCCUCCUUGAAGGCUGCACAGCAAGGAGUGUUGGCAGAGUAGCUGGGUUUCCACUGGGAGAGCACGAGUCAGCAUCAUGCUGGGCUCAAGCAUGGAUAUGCACUGCUGCUGCCAGAGCAUCAUAAUUUGCAAGCAUUUAUCGAGUACCCUUCAUCUAAUUUUCAUCCUGCGGAAACUAGAAAUUGCUACACUUGCACACAAUAAACUUCUGGCAGUUAGCCUUCUAAACUGGGACACUACCAUUUGGGAGGGAAAAGACCUUUCUGGUGGUUAAAGAUGGGGCUUCCAGUUACUGCAUUUGUUUUAAUACAGUCUAUUCCAUAGAGCCAUCGAUGGAGACUCAUUAUAUAACCUUUCGUGGAAAGCUUCUGACUUCUUUCUCAAUGCACAGAGAUCCCAGACCACCACCCAUGAUCCCAGGCUGGAGGAAGCAGCAGGCUAGCGGAAUUCAGGACCAAUGAGCCAGGAAAGAGGACCCAAUGCAGAGCUCACAUCCCACCCUCCUUCCCCCAUGACAAAGCACUGGCAAACCCUGCCAAAGAAGAAGCUUGGCUGCAAAGCAGUCUGGAACUGGACCCGGGAUAGAUUCACCAGGAGCUCACCACCACAGGGAAUGCUGCACUUUGACUGGACAGAAUGCAUCCUCCAUGCCCACAGAGCAUGUGCCCAGGAUGAAUCUCACUGUAUCCCAGUUCCUCAUGCUUGGCCCCAAACCUCUUUUUCACAGUAAUAAAGAAAACACACUUUACAAAAAGGCAGUUCAUCUAUGAACAUAUUGGCUAGGAUAACACAUCUUAGAGCUAAAUGUGUCACUGUAAAUGGACUCAUUUUAUAUCUCCACAUACUGUAGAUGUUUAAAAAAAGGUACAUGCACAGAAACUAUGGGAACUGAACUGGAGUAUGAGCCAAUUACCCUAGACUUUGCUGUAAUCUGACUUUUGUGUAGCACAUUUUCUUUAGCAUUUUUCUUAAUGGGGGAUGGGGAGUGGAGGCAAAGGAGACAAACUGACAGCAGAGCAUUUUAUUUAGACAAAAGAAAUAUAUUCAGCCUGUCUUAAAUUAUUUGUCAUUAUAAUGACGUUUUCUAAUUUAAAAGUAUUUUGCUUAAUAAUAUAUAAUUGAAUAUUAUAUGCAAUUAAUCAUAUCAUCAUAGCUCUUUAAAGAUUUAUCUCUCAAUAUCUAAUUAAUUACGAGGUCUUGUUUCUUCCAUCUUCAAAAUACACCUGGAAUUUUUACUUAUUCCUAUCUCUACUGUCUUAAGCCUAGUCCAAGUCAAUGUCCUCUCUUAUUAGAAAACUGUGGAAACCUCCUCC
rnacentral:lncRNA from 1 species